GGAAGGCUGGCCCGGACGGGCUGGCUCGUGAACCCGGUCAGGUCCGGAAGGAAGCAGCCGUAGCGGGAUUCACUCGGGUCGAGCCGGUCUUCCAUG
rnacentral:SRP_RNA from 1 species